GAGCUAAUUUGUUAAGUAUACUUGCAAAAGGUAGAUGAGGAGACAGAUAAAAUCUUAUUACCUCUUUCAGAUGAGAGGCACUUGAGCCCUGCUCAGCUAUGAGAAUAAGAGAGGGGAAUUAAUUCGAAUUGAAUACACUUGUUCUCUUAUAGCUGUUGUUCCCCACCAGAACCAAAUGAGCGCAAGAUCUGACAAAGAAAAAAAAGGUUCAUCUUUUAUUCCCCCAAACACUUUCAUUUAAAUCAAGAGGAUGGGAUGUGGUUAUUGCUGUGUUUUUAGACAGAAUCAACGGUUUCUGUGUCUGAGAUGUUGCAUACACCCUCUCAGUCCCUCUAUCCUGAGAUGGAGUCACCUGAGGAUCCACAGCAAGUCCUAACCAGGGAUGGGUCUGGGUGAUUAAGGAAGGUUGGCUUCAGAACUGGGCCAGGGGCACUGCUUUGCUUUUGCUGUUUUGAUCAGCUCUCUGCCUGCAGGAGACAAGGAAAACCAAUGGGAACAGCCCAGUAAAGGCUCCAUUCCCCAUUUUACAGCUGGGGAAACUGAGUUACAGAGCUUUUCUGCACUGAGUCAUCAGGAGCAAAUGCUAGAUCAGAUAGGGUCUCUCUCUCUGCCACCCAGGCCAGAGUGCAGUUGACGCAGGGCAGGGGAGCCCCGAAGUGGAGCAUAGUGUGUCCGGAACUGGUGGGUUCUUGGUCUCACUGACUUCAAG
rnacentral:lncRNA from 10 species